rfam:Gossypium hirsutum cultivar TM-1 chromosome 15, whole genome shotgun sequence
AAUCCAUGCAUCGGACAUUUUUAAAUUAAUUCUUUAAAUUUUUCCCAAGCUUCAUAUAGCAUUUCAUCCUUCGAAUGCCUAAAAGAUGUGAUGUCAUUUCUAAGCUU